rnacentral:rRNA from 1 species
UACGUAGGGUGCUAGCGUUAUCCGGAUUUACUGGGCGUAAAGGGUGCGUAGGUGGUCUUUCAAGUCGGUGGUUAAAGGCUACGGCUCAACCGUAUUAAGCCGCCGAAACUGGAAGACUUGAGUGCAGGAGAGGAAAGUGGAAUUCUCAGUGUAGCGGUGAAAUGCGUAGAUAUUGAGAAGAACACCAGUAGCGAAGGCGGCUUUCUGGACUGUAACUGACACUGAGGCACGAAAGCGUGGGUAGCAAACAGGAUUAGAUACCCUGGUAGUCCACGCCGUAAACGAUGAGUAUUAGGUGUCGGGGGUUACCCCCCUCGGUGCCGCAGUUAACGCAUUAAAUACUCCGCCUGGGGAGUACGCACGCAAGUGUGAA